UACAGGGGGUGCAACCGUUGCUCGGAAUCAUUGGGCGUAAAGCGCACGUAGGCGGUUCGUUAUGUCGGAUGUGAAAGCCCUUGGCUUAACCGAGGAAGUGCAUCCGAAACUGGCGAGCUAGAGUACGAAAGAGGAUCGCGGAAUUCCCGGUGUAGAGGUGAAAUUCGUAGAUAUCGGGAGGAACACCGGUGGCGAAGGCGACACGCUGGGCCGUACCUGACACUGAACCGCGACAGCAUGGGGAGCAAACAGG
rnacentral:rRNA from 1 species